AGCAUAAUUUUCCUCUCUUAUGCUCAAAUUAUUUUAUAUUAUAAAAUGAUUGUAAGAUAGUUCUGGCGUGAAUAUGUUCCAAAUGGGAGGAUCAGCUGCAUUUUAUCAAGUACCAAGAAGAUUAUGUGAGGAGGGUAUGUACUGCACUUGUGUCCGACACUGUAGAGGACGAAAAUAGAAAUUAAUAUAUGUUUAAACUUUUAUUGUAAGAUUUUGUAAAAUAAAUUAUUUUAAUAUUUUUCA